GCCUCACUGUGAUAACGUAGUCCAGAUCUGAAGAGUCUAGGUGUAGUGGUUUUCAAUCAGGAUCAGUUCUAAUGCGGUCUGGACCCCUAAAAAGCAUUAAAAUGUGCCUUUAUUGCAUUUUCACAAAUAGGGUAAAGGUUUCACAAAUCUGAAACUAUGUUUUACAUAAUGUAUAGCCUCACUGUGAUAAUUUAGUCCAGAUUUGAAGAGUCUAGGUGUAGUGGUUUUCAAUCAGGACCCGUUCUAAUGCAGUCUGGACCCCUAAAAAGCAUUAAAAUGAGCCUGUAUUGCAUUUUCACAAAUAGAAAAAAGGUUUCACAAAUCUGUAACUAUGUUUUAUAUAAUGUAGAGCCUCACUGUGAUAAUGUAGUCCA
ensembl:lncRNA